rnacentral:rRNA from 1 species
GACGAACGCUGGCGGCGUGCUUAACACAUGCAAGUCGAACGGAAAGGCCUCUUUCGGGGGGUACUCGAGUGGCGAACGGGUGAGUAACACGUGAGUAACCUGCCCUUGACUUUGGGAUAACUUCAGGAAACUGGGGCUAAUACCGGAUAGGAGCUCCUGCUGCAUGGUGGGGGUUGGAAAGUUUCGGCGGUUGGGGAUGGACUCGCGGGUUAUCAGCUUGUUGGUGGGGUAGUGGCUUACCAAGGCUUUGACGGGUAGCCGGCCUGAGAGGGUGACCGGCCACAUUGGGACUGAGAUACGGCCCAGACUCCUACGGGAGGCAGCAGUGGGGAAUAUUGCACAAUGGGUGGAGGCCUGAUGCAGCAACGCCGUGUGCGGGAUGACGGCCUUCGGGUUGUAAACCGCUUUCGCUCAUGACGAAGCUUUGUGUGACGGUAGUGGGUAAAGAAGCACCGGCUAACUACGUG